CAGAGCAGCCGCUCACUCGGCUCCCAAGGGGUCUGACACUGCUGCUGCAUCCUGAGGGUCACCUUCUCCACCCCUUGGGACUCCUCUCACCCGAGAUAAGGAGCACACAGCCCUCCAGGCUCAAAACAAGCCAGGUAUUUCUCCUGUGGAGAAUAUCACAGGAGAAUUACCAUGAGGUGUUUGUGCAGCUCAUUGGGGCCCGGAUCACAGACAGCCCCAGACUCUCAGAGAUCAUUACACAUUGCAAAUCCAACCAUUUGCAGACAAAACGAGCACGGAGCAGCCUGGAAACUGUCACACCACCCCUGCCACGUUGUGAUGCCUUACAACCUUUAAGCUGGGAAUUAACAUAUAAAACCAAGGGACCUGGAAAUAUUUGUCGGGCAGACGCAGAAAAGCAAGCAGAGGCACUUGAGCGCCGGUUGCCUUCACAUUCGAGCCCAUUCUGGAGCUUUAUUACACGCAAUCAGGGACAAUAAAGACCCGUGACAGUUA